rnacentral:rRNA from 1 species
UACGUAGGGGGCAAGCGUUGUCCGGAUUCAUUGGGCGUAAAGAGCGUGUAGGCGGCCAGGUAGGUCGGUUGUGAAAACUGGAGGCUCAACCUUCAGAGGUCGACCGAAACCAUCUGGCUAGAGUCCGGGAGAGGAGAGUGGAAUUCCUGGUGUGGCGGUGAAAUGCGCAGAUAUCAGGAAGAACACCCGUGGCGAAAGCGGCUCACUGGCCCAUAACUGACGCUGAGGCACGAAAGCGUGGGGAGCAAACAGG